UACGUAGGGGGCUAGCGUUAUCCGGAAUUACUGGGCGUAAAGGGUGCGUAGGUGGUUUCUUAAGUCAGAGGUGAAAGGCUACGGCUCAACCGUAGUAAGCCUUUGAAACUGGGAAACUUGAGUGCAGGAGAGGAGAGUGGAAUUCCUAGUGUAGCGGUGAAAUGCGUAGGUAUUAGGAGGAACACCAGUUGCGAAGGCGGCUCUCUGGACUGUAACUGACACUGAGGCACGAAAGCGUGGGGAGCAAACAGG
rnacentral:rRNA from 1 species